GUGACCAAUAAUAAAAUCUGAUGGCACUUGGAUAUGACAGUAGAUAAGUGGACACUACUGAUCUUUCUAAGAUACAUGCUCCUUUAUGUAAUGUAACUCAAGUGAUUGAGCAAUUAAUACAAAACAUAGGCACUUAUCAUGCUGUGUUAGAUUUAGCUAAUGCCUUCUUUAGCAUCCCUUUUACCCUGACUUGCAGUCAUUAUAUUGAUGAUACUCUAACUUCUGAAGACUUGUCAUUGCUACAGCAACACGGAGAUGCAUUGACACCCUUCUUCAAUCCAGAGGAUGGGCCAUCAACUCACAAAAGUACAAGGCCUGGAACCAGCUGCAAAGUUCCUAUGGAUCACUUGGCCAGGUCUAAAUUUAUUUAGCAGAAAUAGAAUGGAACACAUGAAAAGGAGAAAAAAUGUACAUUUUUUCAAGAUAAUUUUCAGACUUUGCAAACAAUUAUAUUGUAUAAGUGAAUAAAACCAAAUCAGAGUAAUAAAGAUAUGUAAUUGGGCUACAUAGAUGGAGAUUUACAAUACACUGGAAACGGAGAGAGAAAGGUGGGUGAUAAAUUACUCUUUUUAAUAUGAUUUUAUUGUUUUGCAUAUUUCUUUCUUUAAAUACACUACCUACAAGUAUAGACAAAGAUGAAAAUAUGGGUUGACAAACAGGUGCUCAUUAUUUAGAAGAAAUAUAAGAUUUAAAUUC
rnacentral:lncRNA from 1 species